rnacentral:rRNA from 1 species
CGAGUGGCGAACGGGUGAGUAACGCGUGAGGAACCUAGCCUCAAAGAAGGGGGGACGAACAGUUGGAAAUGACUGCUAAUACCGCAUAAGACCACGGUACCGCAUGGUACAGUGGGAAAAACUACCGGUGGUAUGAGAUGGACCCGCGUCUGAUUAGCUAGUUGGUAAGGUAACGGCUUACCAAGGCGACGAUCAGUAGCCGACCUGAGAGGGUGACCGGCCACAUUGGGACUGAGACACGGCCCAAACUCCUACGGGAGGCAGCAUG